GGAUGUGAGGGCGAUCUGGUUGCGACAUCUGUCACCCCAUUGAUCGCCAGGGUUGAUUUGGCUGAUCUGGCUGGCUAGGCAGGUGUCCCCUUUCUCCCUCACCACUACAUGUGCCUCCCUCCAGAAGCUGUGCGCUCGGCCUUCCCCAAAUAGAGACGUACUGGACCGCUCUUCGGUCCAGGGUAUAAGAGUAGCUGCGCUCCCCUGCUAGAACCUCCAAAUAAGCUCUCAGAAAAGAUAAUAUUGGGACAAGGUGAUGGCAUACUUGGUUAAGUGCACGUAUUACCAU
rnacentral:snRNA from 1 species